AUUGAACGCUGGCGGCAUGCCUUACACAUGCAAGUCGAACGGCAGCACGGGAGCAAUCCUGGUGGCGAGUGGCGAACGGGUGAGUAAUACAUCGGGAACGUGCCCAGUAGUGGGGAUAACCCGGCGAAAGCCGGACUAAUACCGCGUACGACCUACGGGUGAAAGCAGGGGAUCUCAUGGCAACAUGCGACCUUGCGCUAUCGGAGCGGCCGAUGUCAGAUAG
rnacentral:rRNA from 1 species